rnacentral:rRNA from 1 species
UCUCAGUUCGGAUCGGAGUCUGNAACCCGACUCCGUGAAGCUGGAUUCGCUAGUAAUCGCGCAUCAGCCAUGGCGCGGUGAAUACGUUCCCGGGCCUUGUACACACCGCCCGUCAAGCCAUGGGAGCCGGGGGUGCUUGAAGUGCGUCGCCGCAAGGCGCGCCCUAGAGCAAAACCGGUGACUGGGCUAAGUCGUAACAAGGUACC